rnacentral:tRNA from 2 species
GACUCCGUAGCUCAGCUGGAUAGAGCGCUCGCCUUCUAAGCGAGUGGUCGCAGGUUCAAAUCCUGCCGGGGUCGCCA